CACAUCCAAGGAAGGCAGCAGGCGCGCAAAUUACCCACUCCCGGCACGGGGAGGUAGUGACGAAAAAUAACGAUACGGGACUCAUCCGAGGCCCCGUAAUCGGAAUGAGUACACUCUAAACCCUUUAACGAGGAUCAAUUGGAGGGCAAGUCUGGUGCCAGCAGCCGCGGUAAUUCCAGCUCCAAUAGCGUAUAUUAAAGUUGUUGCGGUUAAAAAGCUCGUAGUCGAAUCUGUGUCUCGCGCCGCCGGUUCAUCGCUCGCGGUGUUUAACUGGCGUGCCGCGGGACGUCCUGCCGGUGGGCUUAGCUCUCUUCCGAGGGGGCGGCCCAACAUAAUAUCCCACCGCGGUGCUCUUCACUGAGUGUCGAGGUGGGCCGGCACGUUUACUUUGAACAAAUUAGAGUGCUUAAAGCAGGCUAAAACUUCGCCUGAAUACUGUGUGCAUGGAAUAAUGGAAUAGGACCUCGGUUCUAUUUUGUUGGUUUUCGGAACCCCGAGGUAAUGAUUAAUAGGAACGGAUGGGGGCAUUCGUAUUGCGACGUUAGAGGUGAAAUUCUUGGAUCGUCGCAAGACGAACAGAAGCGAAAGCAUUUGCCAAAAACGUUUUCAUUGAUCAAGAACGAAAGUUAGAGGUUCGAAGGCGAUCAGAUACCGCCCUAGUUCUAACCAUAAACGAUGCCAGCUAGCGAUCCGCCGACGUUCCUCCGAUGACUCGGCGGGCAGCUUCCGGGAAACCAAAGCUUUUGGGUUCCGGGGGAAGUA
rnacentral:rRNA from 1 species